rnacentral:rRNA from 1 species
GACAGAGGGUGCAAACGUUGUUCGGAAUUACUGGGCGUAAAGCGUGUGUAGGCGGCUACAUAAGUCGGAUGUGAAAGCCCCGGGCUCAACCCGGGAAGUGCACUCGAUACUGCGUAGCUUGAGUCUCGGAGAGGUUGGUGGAAUUCUCGGUGUAGAGGUGAAAUUCGUAGAUAUCGAGAGGAACACCGGUGGCGAAGGCGGCCAACUGGACGAAGACUGACGCUGAGGUGCGAAAGCGUGGGGAGCAAACAGG